rnacentral:tRNA from 1 species
UCCCUGGUGGUCCAGUGGUUAAGACUCUGCACUUCCAAUGCAGGGUAUGCAGGUUCAAUCCCUGGUUGUGGAA